UGGAAUGUAGCUCAGUGGUAGACAGUUUGCCUAGCAUGCAUGAGACCCUGGGUUCAAUUCCCAGCACCACAA
rnacentral:tRNA from 1 species